UACGUAGGUGGCAAGCGUUAUCCGGAUUUAUUGGGCGUAAAGGGAACGCAGGCGGUCUUUUAAGUCUGAUGUGAAAGCCUUCGGCUUAACCGGAGUAGUGCAUUGGAAACUGGGAGACUUGAGUGCAGAAGAGGAGAGUGGAACUCCAUGUGUAGCGGUGAAAUGCGUAGAUAUAUGGAGGAACUCCAGUGGCGAAAGCGGCUCUCUGGUCUGUAACUGACGCUGAGGUUCGAAAGCGUGGGUAGCAAACAGG
rnacentral:rRNA from 1 species